UACAGUAUCUCAGAGAGGAGGUUAGGUCUCCUGCUCCUCUGGUGCAUUCACUAUAGCUGCCCAAUUUCCCUGCUUUUGAAAGUUUGAUAGCAAUGGCUAUAGGUGCAGAUGAAAUAUGAAAGCUUGCAAAAAAUAAUUAUUUCCAACAGAUUUCUGGAUGCUUUUGCUGCUGUUAACCUUUUUGAAUGGUGUAGAGUUGGCAGCUUUUUCUCAACAUCCCAAAAAAGAAGUUAUGGUCCCAAAGCCAAAAAACAUUUUGGCAAGGCAAACGCAGAAAUAUUCUUCAUCCAACAAAGAGAAAAGGAAGUGACUGAUUUUAAGUGCAGUAGAUUUUUUUCCCAUUGGAGAGAGGAUUUGCUGUUUGCCACCCCACCGAAGAAUACUCGUGACACAGAUAUGAACUUGUCAGUUGCUGAAAGAGCCUUGGAUUUGAACCCAGCUGGUGCAGUGUAAUGUGAUGUCCAUUCUCGGUUAUGAUCUGUUUGACCUUGAGGACCAUGAGUUGCAUCAUUAUUUCUGUAGAAAUGCGAAUUCAAGAAUGAAAAAAAAACUGAGGACAGAAGCAGAAUGGGUAGGUCUGUUCCCUCUGUCGUAUAUGAAGCAGCAACCAUCAUUUCCCUUGUGAAGCCUUAUCUUUGUGCCCGUUUUUUCCUGAGCCAUAAAACUGGAGACCAUUUGACAUGUUCUGACUGCUGUUUUAUUGGUUUGGGGUUGUGUUUUUGUUUUCAUGUUUUAAUAAUACUUCGCUUUCUAGACUGUAUACCGC